AAAGCAGAGAUAGUGUGUAUCGACGUUGUGCGAAUUUAAUUCAAAGUGCACUUUGAUCGAAAGUGUUCUCUGCAAAAUUGGAAUCACAAGGGAAAGAUGGGCAGUUGUGAUUCAUACUUUUCAAUUGAUUUUUCAACAAUCAUCUUCCCUACACUC